rnacentral:rRNA from 1 species
UUUAUGGAGAGUUUGAUCCUGGCUCAGGAUGAACGCUGGCGGCGUGCCUAAUACAUGCAAGUCGAGCGAACGGACGAGAAGCUUGCUUCUCUGAUGUUAGCGGCGGACGGGUGAGUAACACGUGGAUAACCUACCUAUAAGACUGGGAUAACUUCGGGAAACCGGAGCUAAUACCGGAUAAUAUUUUGAACCGCAUGGUUCAAAAGUGAAAGACGGUCUUGCUGUCACUUAUAGAUGGAUCCGCGCUGCAUUAGCUAGUUGGUAAGGUAACGGCUUACCAAGGCGACGAUGCAUAGCCGACCUGAGAGGGUGAUCGGCCACACUGGAACUGAGACACGGUCCAGACUCCUACGGGAGGCAGCAGUAGGGAAUCUUCCGCAAUGGGCGAAAGCCUGACGGAGCAACGCCGCGUGAGUGAUGAAGGUCUUCGGAUCGUAAAACUCUGUUAUUAGGGAAGAACAUAUGUGUAAGUAACUGUGCACAUCUUGACGGUACCUAAUCAGAAAGCCACGGCUAACUACGUGCCAGCAGCCGCGGUAAUACGUAGGUGGCAAGCGUUAUCCGGAAUUAUUGGGCGUAAAGCGCGCGUAGGCGGUUUUUUAAGUCUGAUGUGAAAGCCCACGGCUCAACCGUGGAGGGUCAUUGGAAACUGGAAAACUUGAGUGCAGAAGAGGAAAGUGGAAUUCCAUGUGUAGCGGUGAAAUGCGCAGAGAUAUGGAGGAACACCAGUGGCGAAGGCGACUUUCUGGUCUGUAACUGACGCUGAUGUGCGAAAGCGUGGGGAUCAAACAGGAUUAGAUACCCUGGUAGUCCACGCCGUAAACGAUGAGUGCUAAGUGUUAGGGGGUUUCCGCCCCUUAGUGCUGCAGCUAACGCAUUAAGCACUCCGCCUGGGGAGUACGACCGCAAGGUUGAAACUCAAAGGAAUUGACGGGGACCCGCACAAGCGGUGGAGCAUGUGGUUUAAUUCGAAGCAACGCGAAGAACCUUACCAAAUCUUGACAUCCUUUGACAACUCUAGAGAUAGAGCCUUCCCCUUCGGGGGACAAAGUGACAGGUGGUGCAUGGUUGUCGUCAGCUCGUGUCGUGAGAUGUUGGGUUAAGUCCCGCAACGAGCGCAACCCUUAAGCUUAGUUGCCAUCAUUAAGUUGGGCACUCUAAGUUGACUGCCGGUGACAAACCGGAGGAAGGUGGGGAUGACGUCAAAUCAUCAUGCCCCUUAUGAUUUGGGCUACACACGUGCUACAAUGGACAAUACAAAGGGCAGCGAAACCGCGAGGUCAAGCAAAUCCCAUAAAGUUGUUCUCAGUUCGGAUUGUAGUCUGCAACUCGACUACAUGAAGCUGGAAUCGCUAGUAAUCGUAGAUCAGCAUGCUACGGUGAAUACGUUCCCGGGUCUUGUACACACCGCCCGUCACACCACGAGAGUUUGUAACACCCGAAGCCGGUGGAGUAACCUUUUAGGAGCUAGCCGUCGAAGGUGGGACAAAUGAUUGGGGUGAAGUCGUAACAAGGUAGCCGUAUCGGAAGGUGCGGCUGGAUCACCUCCUUU